rnacentral:rRNA from 1 species
UCGGGAAUUUUGGGCAAUGGGCGAAAGCCUGACCCAGCAACGCCGCGUGAAGGAUGAAGUUUUUCGGAAUGUAAACUUCACAAGAACGGGAAGAAUAAGUUUGAGCUAACACCUCAAACGAUGACGGUACCGUUUGUAAGCUCCGGCUAACUCCGUGCCAGCAGCCGCGGUAAUACGGGGGAGCAAGCGUUGUUCGGAUUUACUGGGCGUAAAGGGCGCGUAGGCGGCGCAACAAGUCACUUGUGAAAUCUCCGGGCUUAACUCGGAGCGGUCAAGUGAUACUGUCGUGCUAGAGUGCGGAAGGGGCAACUGGAAUUCUCGGUGUAGCGGUGAAAUGCGUAGAUAUCGAGAGGAACACCUGCGGCGAAGGCGGGUUGCUGGGCCGACACUGACGCUGAUGCGCGAAAGCCAGGGGAGCGAACGGGAUUAGAUACCCCGGUAGUCCUGGCCUUAAACGAUGGAUGCUUGGUGUCCGAGGUUUGAUAGUCCUCGGGUGCCGUCGCUAACGCUUUAAGCAUCCCGCCUGGGGAGUAC